UAACAAAUCAGGUAUAAAAAAAAAAGAAAGAAAUCUGGGCUCAGUGGACAUUUGAAUGCCUCUCAACUUCUCCUGCAGACAGAAAGUUGGCCACUGGACAUCUGCAGUUAUCUGCUGGAGACCUCCUCAAGACCCUAGUUUCUAUUUUACAGUACUGUACAGAAAGACGAAGCAUCAUGCUGAAGAAAUGGAAGAGGAAUGCAGCAAUGUUCUUUGUAGUUCUUCGGCUGUAUGCUUGCCAUUGUCUGCAUAGCAGUCAUUUGUUCUAUGGACGGACAUGAUCUAAAGGAGCAUCAUUUCUAAAUCAACAGUUCUCAAACUUCAUUGCACUGAGAUCCCCUUCUGACAACAAAAAGUACUACACGACCCCAGGGCCCUGUAUUACUCUAGAAGAGUUAAUAUUUUAAAUUUAAAAAUGCAUUAAAAGUGUGUAUCUACAAAAAACUAUCCACUAAAUAUUUAAACUCACAAUACAAUUGCAAGACAAUCUUUCUAUCCCAGCAGUAAAAUAAAUAAAUAAAUAAAUAAAAUAAAAUAAAAAUGUACCUAAUGGGAGUGAUGAGCUUGUAUUGAUGAACACAAAUCCUUGAAGUGGGGCUCUCUGUGACUGAGGUAAAGACCUGUCAUCUUCAUCAGUGAUUGUAUGUGUUUUUCAGGAAAGUCAGUGCUGAAAAGCUAGCUUCACACAGGUGGCAUGAGUGGUCAGUGCUGCAGACGACAGCUCUGUAUAUUCUUCUCACACACAAAUCCAGAAGUUAGCAAGAAGUUGUUCAGAAAAAUCUCAGCAUCAAUGUCACAUCCAUUAAUGCUUUUUUCACUGUUAAGUUGGAGUUGCCAACUUUCAUGCGGUAAAUAAGCACCCUGACUGUCACAAUAAGCCAAAAAUCAAGCUAAUCCCUUUCACAACAAGGCCAAAAUAAGCCAAUCCCUAAGAACCCCAACACUCUAUGGGAUUAGUUCCCCACAGCGUGCAGUCUGGGACUGUGAUGGGUCCGCUGUGCACCCCGACUCUCCCUCUGCCUUGUCCCUGCUUGCUCCCGCUUGCCGGGAGCCAAUAAUAAUUAAAAAAAAAAAAAAAAAAAAAGCAACAAGCUACAAGCCAAAAACUAGCCAACAAGCAACUCACAAGCCCCAAAAAAAGCCCAAUUUCUGUGGUUUUUAGCAGGUUUGGCAUGUCUGCUGUAAGUGCCAUAACAGCAUUUGCAGUCGUUCUGCAUUAAAGGGAUUUCCAAUCCACGCCACUGUUUUCCGAUCCUCUUCAGGAAAUGCUUCCAAAACUGCAGUUUAAGGCUUUCCAGGUGGCUGAUGAUAAUGG